UGGGCUGGCAUUCGAGCCAGGGCUUCUGCCAGGAUGAGAACGCUAAUCUGGUGGUGCCCAGGAACACUGAAGAGAUGACCUUCCUGAAGUUUCAUUCCAGUAAACAUCAUCACCUGAAUCCUGAGGUGUAUGAGUAUGACAAAUACUGGAUUGGUUUAUCAUAUGAUGUCACGGAAGGAAGAUGGCUGUGGGUAGAUGAAACUCCCUUCAACUCCACGCUAUAUGGAAAAUUGGAUCACAAAGGCUGUGCCUACCUCCAGAAUGGAACACUUUAUUCCCAGAAUUGCAAUGAAGUAGCCAAAAUAAUUUGCAAGACCAGUGUCCAGCGUGGUUGGACCUGAGCAGUCCAAUUUGAUUCCCAGGCCACCUGUGGAGCAGAAGCUGUUUCUUGACCUGCUGUGCUGCUGCAGUGGGGUGAUUCUAAAUUCCUUCCCUCUCUGUUAUGGCAAAUAAAUCUGAAUU